rnacentral:rRNA from 1 species
CUGCUGCCUUCCGUAGGAGUCUGGUCCGUGUCUCAGUACCAGUGUGGGGGACCUUCCUCUCAGAACCCCUACGCAUCGUCGCCACGGUGGGCCGUUACCCCGCCGUCUAGCUAAUGCGCCGCAUGCCCAUCCUCUUUCGAUGAAUCUUUCCUCGAUCUCGGUUGCCCGAAACCGAUAUACGCGGGAUUAGCCUCCCUUUCGGAAGGUUGUCCCCCUGAAGAGGGCAGGUUGCAUACGUGUUACUCACCCGUGCGCCGGUCGCCGGA